GUUUGCACUCAUCGGGGAAGGGUGAGAACCUUCGACUAAAGUUCGAUUCGAGCGAAAGCGAGAGAACGUUGCCACAGGCAACGGCCCGAAGGGUGAGGAGCGAAGCGACGAAUAAUCCUUCCCCCACCACCA
rnacentral:sRNA from 1 species